AACGAACGCUGGCGGCAUGCCUAACACAUGCAAGUCGAACGAGACCUUCGGGUCUAGUGGCGCACGGGUGCGUAACGCGUGGGAACCUGCCCUUAGGUUCGGAAUAACUCCCCGAAAGGGGUGCUAAUACCGGAUAAUGUCUUCGGACCAAAGAUUUAUCGCCUUUGGUUGGGCCCGCGUUGGAUUAGCUAGUUGGUAGGGUAAAAGCCUACCAAGGCGACGAUCCAUAGCUGGUAUGAGAGGAUGGUCAGCCACACUGGGACUGAGACACGGCCCAGACUCCUACGGGAGGCAGCAGUGGGGGAUAGUGGACAAUGGGCGAAAGCCUGAUCCAGCAAUGCCGCGUGAGUGAUGAAGGCCUUAGGGUUGUAAAGCUCUUUUACCCGGGAUGAUAAUGACAGUACCGGGAGAAUAAGCUCCGGCUAACUCCGUG
rnacentral:rRNA from 1 species